GGGCUUCAUGACUGACUAGUGUCCUCAGCAUCCACAACAAUGGCUUUCAUCACCCUCUUCAUCUACUCUCUGCUCCUCUACAUCCAAGACUCCAGGGCACAGGUGACCGUUACUCAAACUCCAGCCAUGUUGACCAGUCCAGGGGGCUCAGUCACCAUCAGCUGCAAACGCAGUGGAAGUAUUUAUGAUUCCUGUGUAGCCUACGGUUCACCAUCAUGCAUCUCCUGGUACCAACAGCAGUCUGGAGAGAAACCCAAACUCCUCAUCUAUAGAGUGAGCAGCCUCCAGUCUGGUAUUCCAUCUCGGUUUAGUGGCAGUGGAUCUGGGAAUGACUUCAGUCUGACCAUCAGUGGAGUCCAGAGUGAAGAUGCAGGACAUUAUUACUGCAUGAGUCAUCAUAGAAUCGGUGGUAGUAGCGGUCCUUGGGUGUUCACACAGUGAUACAGAGUCGUACAAAAACCUCCUUCAGUGGAACAGAUCAGUGAGCGCUCUACUGCAGCUGGGACACACUGCAGCUGCUGAAGAAGAGGGAAGUGAAGACCACAUGACAUGAACUCAUGAGGACCCGACGCAAGGAUAUGACUAGACACCUGACUAUACUAG